CCUCCCAGGACUGCUGUCCUAAGCGCUGCAGCCAGUCAACGAGGCAGCUAAGCUGUUCAUUGGACACCUGCUAUAUGUCAGGUCCUGGGGAUUCAGAGAAGAAAGAACACACCCUUUUCUCAGUGAUGAAGCAGACACUUCAACUGGCAAUUUAUCAAAGACAGGGCUGCAGUGCAAAGGCGCGAUCUUGGCUCACCGCAACCUCCACCUUCCUUCCGGCUUCAAGUGAUUCUCCUGCCUCAGCCCUGGGAUUACAGGCAUGCACCACCACACCCAGCUAGUAUUUUUAGUAGAGAUGGGGUUUCUCCAUGUUGGCCAGGCUGGUCUUGAAUUCCCGACCUCAGGUGAUCCGCCCACCAUGGCCUCCCAAAGUGCUGGGAUUACGGGCAUGAGCCACUGCACCCGGCCUCCCCAUGCUAUAUUAUUCGGUGCCAGGUUCCAUCUCUGCUCUAAAGCCGGGCUCUACUAACAAGUGAAUUCUGAUGUAGUCAUGGUGCUGCAUACUGAGUGCUCACUACGCACUAGGCACCACUGAGCAGUGCUUGGUACUCAGUUACAUAUGCAUAAUCUCAUAGAAUGCCCCUAGA